rnacentral:lncRNA from 1 species
UGAACAACAAAUUGGGAUGAGAUAUGACACAUGGGCCUAACUCAACCCCAAAAGCUAGCUCAUGAGGGGAGGUUUGUCCAAGUCCAUAAAAGGAGACCAAAUUUCCAUCCCUCUACCGAUGUGGGACAUCUUAACACUCCCCCACACGCCCAGACCUCAACUGGAGCGUGAACACUUCUAAAUGGGGAGCCCAUCAUUGGUGAACAACAAAUUGGGAUGCAUGAAAAUUGUCCUAAAGCUUCAAUAAAUGGAAUAGACUUGAUAUCCCCUGCACAAGGAUCAGUCACUUUGAGAAAACAUAUCCACAAACAACUUAUUAUGCCUAUUGUCAAACAACAAAGACACCUGUGGCGUCACCAAUUAACGUUCAAGUGAGAAUAGAUCUCAAAUUGCGAGUAGAAGUAGUAUUAACCACACUGUUCAAUUUUAACCAGAAAGCUUGUUAAUGUAAAAAUAUGACACUUGGGCCUAACUCAAUCCCAAAAGCUAGCUCAUGAGGGGAGGUUUGUCCAAGUCCAUAUAAGGAGACCAAAUUUCCAUUCCUCUACCGAUGUGGGACAUCUUAACCGUUAAAACUAAAUUCUCAUUUACACCAACACAAUCCUAGAAGCAAGUAGCCACAGCAGAUACACACUAAGUUAAUGCAAUUCAUUUCCUAGAGUUGCUUGCGAGUGGAACUAAAGAGAUUUCCUAGAAAAAUUGGAAAUGCUAUUUCGUAGUUAAUGCAGUUCAUUAUUUUGCAAUUACCAGCAUAGGUAGCUAAAUCAUAGUUCAAAUUUAACAAUUUCGAAUCUUCAUCCACG